CUAUUACAAUUAUAACGGGUGGUACUCCACAGUUUUAUUUGCCCUUGUGGAUUAUAGAUAUCGCUUCCUCUACAUUAAUGUUGGCUGCCCAGGUCGAUGCAAUGACUCAAAAAUUUUUCAAUGUAGCAAACUAAAUACUGCAUUGAAGGACCCAAUCUUUACUGCAAAAAGCAAAACUAUUAAUGGCGUGAAUGUUCCUGUGGGCAUUAUGGGUGAUUCGGCUUUCCGAUUUGCCAACAAUCUAAUGAAGCCCUAUCCAUUCCAAGUACUUACAUCCUCCAGAGCAUGAAAAAAUUUUUAAUUACCAAUUGUCCAAAUGCCGAAGAGUGGUGGAAAAUGCGUUUGGACACCUAAAGGCUCGUUUUAGGAGAAUAGGGAAAGGAGUCGACAACCACAUCAAAAAUGUUCCUCUUAUAAUUAAAGCAGCCUGUACAUUGCAUAACUUUUUAAAUUGUCAUAAUGAUGUCAUCAACCACAAAUGGAUAGAAGAACAAACUACUUACGAAAGUAGUGUUCGCCUGGAACAGCCCGAGCGCACAGAUGCUGUAGCAGAUUUUGAAGCAGAACCUGAAACAAUUAGAAGAGCGAUUGCGAAUUCAUUUUACUCCGGAGUCGUCGAAAGUCCUGCAAGCUCAUCGCUUGAAAUGAAUCGGGAUUGGCUGCUCGUCGAAGGGUAGAUAGCAGCGCAACCAAUGUUGUCUUCUGGUUCCACAUCUUGAAUUAAAAUAAAAUAAUAAAUAAAAGAGCAAACAAAAGUUUCAUUUUUAUAUUACCUAUACUCUCUUGCAUGAUUUCUUUGAAAUUUACUGCUUUAUUACCACUGAGUAUUUCUUCCACCUCCUUUAGUGGAUCCAAGAGGAAGGCGAACCACCAGUCAUACCCACCGCAUUCUUUUCUAAUCUAUAAAAUAAAAUACAUAUUAUAAUGCUGUGAGUAUGCAGCAAAAUAUA
rnacentral:lncRNA from 1 species